CCUACGGGUGGCAGCAGUGAGGAAUAUUGGUCAAUGGCCGGAAGGCUGAACCAGCAAAGUCGCGUGAGGGAAUAAGGCCCUAUGGGUCGUAAACCUCUUUUGUCAGGAAGCAAAGGCGUCCACGAGUGGACGAAAGGAGAGUACCUGAAGAGAAAGCAUCGGCUAACUCCGUGCCAGCAGCCGCGGUAAUACGGAGGAUGCGAGCGUUAUCCGGAUUUAUUGGGUUUAAAGGGUGCGUAGGCGUAGUGUCAAGUCAGCGGUAAAAUUUCGGGGCUCAACCCCGUCGUGCCGUUGAAACUGACAUCCUUGAGUGAGUGAGAAGUAAGCGGAAUGCGUGGUGUAGCGGUGAAAUGCAUAGAUAUCACGCAGAACGCCGAUUGCGAAGGCAGCUUACCGGCGCUCAACUGACGCUCAUGCACGAAAGCGUGGGUAUCGAACAGGAUUAGAUACCCGAGUAGUC
rnacentral:rRNA from 1 species